AGAACCCCGGGGGUGGAAGGCUCCCCUGUGAAAAUGCAGGAGGGAAGGCGCAAAGGUUAUCUUCCUAGCCCCUCUACGUGGACGCAUCAUCUGUGACAUGCAGCAAAGAACAGUGCCUUCCUGUGCAGGCUGUUUUGGAGAUUACACCAGAACAUAAGCAUGUUCAAUAAAUGGCAGCUAUUUGCA